CCUAAGCUCUUAUGGGUCUGAUGGCAUCACUCACAUGGAGUCACCUAGGCUCCCAGUCGGAUGGCAUCAGUCAAAUGGAGUCGCCUAGGCUCCCAGUCUGAUGGCAUCACUGCACAUGGAGUCGCCUAGGCUCCCAGUCUGAUGGCAUCACUCACAUGGAGUCACCUAGGCUCCCAGUCUGAUGGCAUCACUCACAUGGAGUCGCCUAGGCUCCCAGUCUGAUGGCACCACUCACAUGGAGUCGCCUAGGCUCCCAGUCUGAUGGCAUCAUCAGAAUGGAGUCGCCUAGGCUCCCAGUCUGAUGGCAUCAUCAAAUGGAGUCGCCUAGGCUGCUUGGGGUGCUUCUCAGCAUUUCCAAUGUCACGCUUACAUGGAAAACAACCUUUAUGAGCCCUUAGUGGCUAUUAAAAUCCAAAGUGAAAUAAUGUAGCAUCACUCUGCUGAUGCUGUAGAACACCGAUGAGAGCCCAGAGGAAACCUAAACAGAUAAUUAUUCAUGGAUUAGAAGACAGCCUGUGAAAGAUAGUUCACAAAUUAAUCAGAUUAAAUAUUCUUUCCAUUAAAAAAAGAAAAGCAGUUUUUUUAAAAAGGUGAUUUAAAAAUUGACAUGAAAAGCAAAACACUUAAUAUAAAGAACUCUGAAAAAGUUAGUAGAAUCAAAGCAAGGCUUGUGACAUUAGUAAGGGUCACCACAGAGCGAGGGGUCCCUAUAGUGUGGAGUAUAAGGUGGAGGACGACUGCCUCUCUAGUAAGCAGAGCGGGACAGUCCCAUGUGGGCCCGAAAACAAACAAAACUCCUUGACCUAAGCAGCUUCUUCAGCAAACGUGAGCUCAGACGUGUCAGAAGGUAAUCUACAAAGAGCUGCACAGCUCGGAUCCAGCUGCAGAGCGAGAUGCAGGAGUGAGGUGCAGGGGGAGUGAGGUGCAGGAGUGAGGUGCAGGGGGAGUGAGGUGCAGGAGUGAGGUGCAGGGAGUGAGGUGCAGGAGUGAGGUGCAGGAGUGAGAUGCAGGAGUGAGGUGCAGGAGUGAGGUGCAGGAGUGAGGUGCAGGAGCGAGGUACAGGGGGAGUGAGGUGCAGGAGUGAGGUGCAGGGAGUAGGUGCAGGAGUGAGGUGCAGGAGGAGACCUUUGGAUAGGCUCAAGGGAUGAUCUCGGGAUGAGAUCUGAAGCACAGUCCACUGAAGACCGUGGGACAGAGUGGGCAGAUCCGAAAGGGGUGCUGCUCCUUGGCUGGGGCUGCCAUAACAGUUAGCACAGGCCUGGGCACAUGGAGUCUCUGCCAGAAGCUGGCAGGGCUGGUUUUUGAGUCUGCAGAGCGCUGGCUGCCCUCUCACUGUGUUUUCAUGGGCCUCAGACCUUAGUGUCUUUCUGAAAAGGUAUCAGCUACAGAACUGACCCGUACAGUGUCAUGUAACCUUGGUUAUGUGUUUAAACUGCUUGUCUCCAGAUAUUGUACUGUGACUGAGGACCUAGAUAUACGCAGAGAAUUCAGUGGGGUGCAGAAGUUAGUCCAGACAUUCUGUUCACAUGAAUGACGAGCUGUAUCUAGAAUAUGUAGAGAAUACUCAGAAGUCAGUAAGGAAAUACCUCGAUUAAAACAUGGGCAAGGACUAGAAGACAGACUUCACCAAAGGAUGGCAGACGAGGACUCAAAUAGGUGUUUGGUGUCCUAAGCAAUUGUGGAAAUGCAAACUCUGUGAGAGUCAUCCUUGCCAUCGACUGCAAGGAUGACUGCAAAGAAAGGCACGUGAGCCCUCACGUCACUGAGAUGAGCGAGGCCCAUCACGCUAGAGUUAAACACGGACCUGACCUUCCAUCAGAGCAUCUAGUUCCACACCUUAGUUUUCGUGUAACCUGAACAUGGUGUUUGUAGGAACUCUGUUCAUAUUUGCCCAAAAUUGAAAACAGCCCUGGCAGCCUUCAGACUAUGGGUACUGAGGUUUGAGGUCCUGAGUUCAAUCCUCAGGUCUGGAGGGAUGUGUAUGCAUGUGCACACUCAAGUAAACAACGAAAACCAGAUUUGUUCAUGUCAGGAAAUGUUCUGACUGGCAAAUGGGUAAGCGGACAGAAUCUGAAUUCCAGCAGAAAGGCAUGAGCUAGUGGCAUGCGCAACAGCUCAGUACAAGAGGCGACUUGAGAGACUGCGUCCUGAGUGACCACAUGGCUUGAGAGACUGCGUCCUGAGUGAUCACAUGGCUUGAGAGACUGCGUCCUGAGUGACCACAUGGCUUGAGAGACUGCGUCCUGAGUGACCACAUGGCUUGAGAGACUGCGUCCUGAGUGACCACAUGGCUUGAGAGACUGCGUCCUGAGUGAUCACAUGGCUUGAGAGACUGCGUCCUGAGUGAUCACAUGGCUUGAGAGACUGCGUCCUGAGUGAUUACAUGGCUUGAGAGACUGCGUCCUGAGUGAUCACAUGGCUUGAGAGACUGCGUCCUGAGUGAUUACAUGGCUUGCCAACAGAUGGGCCUGUAGUGGCACCGAGAGGUGCCCACCUUCUCCAGAGGGUUUGUAACCAUGGAGCUUUGCUGGCCUGGUGGUCAUAGUGGCAUCUGUGUCUAUUUUAAAGCUAUCCUCUACCUACACAACCCAUAUUGUCAGAUGUAAAACAUUUAAAGGUUUACUAUAUACGUACAUAUAAUUGGAAAGGCCAGGUUUUCACUUGAUUAGCUUUCAAUGGAACAUAGGUACAGGUAGCACAGAGCUCUUACAUCAGACCGUGAAGUGCUGUGGUCAGCAGACUGAGCCCUGUCCCAGCUGUUCAUUUGUCUGCCACUGUACUGAGAAAGCAGCCAUUGACAGCACUAAAGGAAAUGGGCGUGACUGUAUACUAGGAAAACUUUAUUUAUAAAAGCAAGCAUGCUUGCUUAUCCUUAGAGAAUCUGGCUGUUCUGAGACAUUUGUUCAUGCUAAUUCAAGGUUUUCAAGUAGAAUAACCUUAAAAUAUAUCAUCAAAAUUAAAUAAAAUUUUAGUUCUAAAAGUAUGGAAGGACACUGUU
rnacentral:sRNA from 1 species